AUGAACGCUGGCGGCGUGUCUAAGGCAUGCAAGUCGUAUGGUGUAGCAAUAUGCCAUGGCAAACGGGAGCGUAACACAUUGGUAACUUACCCUAAAGUCAAGCAUAACCCGGAGAAAUUCGGGAUAAUUCUUGAUAAGAGCGGGGGGACUUAAGUCAUUCCCGCUUAAAGCUCACGCGCUUUAGGAGAGGCCUAUGUCCUAUCAGCUAGUUGGCGAGGUAAUAGCUCACCAAGGCAACGACGGGUACCGGGUGUGAGAGCACGACCCGGCUCACUGGGACUGAGACACUGCCCAGACUCCUACGGGAGGCUGCAGUCAAGAAUAUUCCACAAUGGCCGAAAGGCUGAUGGAGCGACGCCGCGUGAUUGAUGAAGCCCUUCGGGGUGUAAAAAUCUUUUAUUAGGGAAGAAGGCUUUUAGCUUGACGGUACCUAAUGAAUAAGGGGCCGCUAACCUCGU
rnacentral:rRNA from 1 species